rnacentral:misc_RNA from 1 species
GAUGAAGAACGCAGCGAAAUGCGAUAAGUAAUGUGAAUUGCAGAAUUCAGUGAAUCAUCGAAUCUUUGAACGCACAUUGCGCCCCCUGGUAUUCCGGGGGGCAUGCCUGUCCGAGCGUCAUUACAACCCUCAAGCUCAGCUUGGUGUUGGGCCCCGCCGCCCCGGCGGGCCCUAAAGUCAGUGGCGGUGCCGUCCGGCUCCGAGCGUAGUAAUUCUUCUCGCUCUGGAGGUCCGGUCGUGUGCUCGCCAGCAACCCCCAAUUUUUUUCAGGUUGACCUCGGAUCAGGUAGGGAUACCGGCUGAACUUAAGCAUAUCAAUAAGCGGAGGA